CUAUCCAAUUCCCACCGGCCGGCGAACUGCCCAUUCUCAAUUACUCCGGUGGCGAAGCGGGAAGGGUUGGCGGCGGUCUAAGAGAGCUCUCUCGUCCAGCCAUCACUAUUACUCGAUAAUAUGGAUCAUUCCUCAUAUCUUGAUUUUCUUCCUCGAACAUUUUGAAAGAAUGCUAAAUGGCCAAGUUUUCCAUUUCGGAUCGGAGAUAUGGAUACUUUUCCGACUGUAAAUGGCCUUCUGAAGCAGUUCAUGUCCACCACGUUGUUGUUCUUAGGAAUACGACUGCUGAAAAGGGUUUCCUCUUCUGCGUUUUUGCAGUCCUUGCCUUAUGUUUUUUCCUACUCAAGGGCGAAUCGAUCUUUGUUGCCUUAUGGUGCUUGGUCUUGAAUGUAUUCUUUUUCAAGAAGUUGUUCAAGGGAAGGGUUGAGAAAGAGAGUGUUAUUGUUAUGCCAAAUUUUGGAGUCCAACUUGAAACUCACUUUCGGAGAUUCUCCUCGGUGCUUACUAUGUCCUUUGUCUCUUAUUGUAGUGGAAAAGUCAUUCGUCGGUUUGUUCCUGUUGGUAAAAUUUUAAAGCCAGUUCUCCUUGAAUGCCUAACUCCAGUUACUUGUUACUGGAGUCUGUCUUUGAUUGUAAAGGGGGAAGACGAACUAUUGUUGGUUUUCAAGGAAUUACGUCCACCCGUGAAAAUGCUGGUCCCUGUCUGGAAGGCUUUGUGCACAGCUACCGGUGAUGAUAAAAAUGGAGAUGAUUGUUCAUAACGCAAUGGGCAAUUGUAGCUCCUGAGUAUCAUGUGAAUUUGCCAACUCAAUUUCUAUCUUUACUCAUGUACAUGGUGCCAUUAUGGUUUAGUUCGAGCCUACGAAGGAGUUUUAGAGCUUGAACCAGCUUAUAACAAGAAUUCUUAGAUAUUCUUCAUUCAUUUUUCUAUUUUCAUACAUUUAAGUUUGCUUUUACUUAUUAUUUUAUUUUGUAUCUUUCUUUUUAAAGAAUACAUUCAUUGUGAUUUUAAUAUUUAAAUGUUAGUAGAACAAAUUUAGUAUAUAGAACAAAAAAACUAAACUGUUGUCAAAUUUUGUUUUCAAUACAAUGAUUGAGGUGUGAAGAUAUGAAAAUUUGGCUCA